UUGUAUGGUUGCAGCGCAGCGCUGGGAGAGAGCUCUCCCAGGGCUCUAAGUAACCCACCUCCACGUGAGGCGUAGCUCCCAGCACCGGGGCACUGUUUACACACUGGCACUUUACAGCACUGCAACUUGCUGCAGUGGGGUGUGUGUGUGUU